CCUCUCUGCAGCAUAAUGUCUUGUGCAGCCUACUUAGAUGGCAACGCAACGCCAAAGUCCAUGAGCAGAGCCAAACAAUGGACUGACGAGGUGGAGAACUUAUACAGAUUCCAACAGGCAGGCUACAGAGAUGAACUGGAAUACAAACAAAUCGACAGGUGGCCUGAGACUGGGUUUGUGAAGAAGCUUCAGCGUCGAGACAACACAUUCUAUUACUACAACAGAAAAAGAGAAUGUGAAGACCGGGAAGUCCAUAAAGUGAAGGUCUAUGCAUAUUAAGUCAGGAGUGU